UGGCCAAGGAUGAGAACUCUAAUCUGAUUGGAUUCUGCUCUGAUGGAUUAAAGGAUUUACCUGAGGCCA
ensembl:snoRNA